CAGUAGCCGCGGUAAUACAGAGGUCCCGAGCGUUGUUCGGAUUCAUUGGGCGUAAAGGGUGCGUAGGCGGCGGGGUAAGUCUGAUGUGAAAUCCCGGGGCUCAACCCUGGAACUGCAUUGGAUACUGCCUUGCUUGAGAACUGGAGAGGAGACUGGAAUUUACGGUGUAGCAGUGAAAUGCGUAGAGAUCGUAAGGAAGACCAGUGGCGAAGGCGAGUCUCUGGACAGAUUCUGACGCUGAGGCACGAAGGCCAGGGGAGCAAACGGGAUUAGAUACCCCAGUAGUCCCUGUCUCUUAUAU
rnacentral:rRNA from 1 species